UACGGAGGGUGCAAGCGUUAAUCGGAAUCACUGGGCGUAAAGCGCGCGUAGGUGGCUAUUUAAGUCAGAUGUGAAAGCCCUGGGCUCAACCUGGGAAUGGCAUUUGAUACUGGAUAGCUAGAGUAUGGUAGAGGUGAGUGGAAUUUCAGGUGUAGCGGUGAAAUGCGUAGAGAUCUGAAGGAACAUCAGUGGCGAAGGCAACCUCCUGGGCCUGAAUUGACACUGAAGCACGAAAGCGUGGGGAGCAAACAGG
rnacentral:rRNA from 1 species